rnacentral:lncRNA from 1 species
AAGUACAGACACCUGUUCACUGAGGUGUAGUGUUUAAUGUUGUGAGCUCACAGCCAGAAGGACCCACCAGGUGUCUUCCUCCACAGUGUAAGUGGGCUCUUCCUCACGCAGUCAUUCUAGCUGCCUGUAGGUGUGAGUGAAUGAGACCCUGCCUCUGGUCCAGUGGCAACAGAUGGAUGACGCCAUUAAAUUCAUUUUUAUUUUUACCACUCAGCAUAAUACACAAUCUAUAAAAAGAAUUAAUGCGAGACAUCCAGCUUUCCAUUUAUAACUUAAACAACCUAAUGUGUGUGAAAAUGAAUUUACUACCAAUCUGUGUGGUACAGGCCUGAAGAGGAGGCUGAGAAUGUGAGAUAGCAGCUUCUCUAACUGAAACGCAAGGGGCCACAGUUUGAUAAGUGCCGUGCUGCAGAUAGGACGGGACUGAGCUGAUAACACAGAUCCACACACGAGAUCCUGAGGAGACGCGAUGGAGGCUUCAUGUGCUGAGGAGCAGAUGCUUCUCGUCUGCUGGUGAGUGGAGGUCAUCAAAUAGCAGCGUAUGUGACUAAUGAAGAGGCCAUAAUUACCAUAAUUACAAUGAAGCCAAUACAGCCCAUGACUCCAAAUUACAGAUCAGUAAUAAUCUCAUCAUUUUAGAACGUCCUUAACAUGACAAUAAAAUAGGAAAUAGUGUCAAGAAGAGGAGACUCUUCCUGCUUUAAAGCCAAAGAGCUGCAGCUGCUUGGCCUUCGUCUACUCUAUAAAUGAGGAAAGAUGAAGGCGAAAGCAGGCACAUCAGACCAUUUACUGCAGCUAAACACUGGACACAUUCAAAGCACUUGGAGGAUAAAACGAAAACAACACAAUCCUCUUAUCACCAGCAGGCCUGAAGCAUUGAACCCUGAGGAGGUGCGGUGAAAGUAAAACCACCACAUAAAGCAAAAGGAACAUUCGUCUUGACGUCCCAGUGUUUCUGCAGGUGAAGACAUAGUGUCUUGUUUUCCAGCAGCAUUACCUGAACUUAAAAUUCAAAGCCUGACAACUCUACAACAGGAGGAAACCAUUACUGACAUGACUGUUAAUACUUC